AGUGAACGCUGGCGGUAGGCCUAACACAUGCAAGUCGAACGGCAGCACAGGAGAGCUUGCUCUCUGGGUGGCGAGUGGCGGACGGGUGAGGAAUACAUCGGAAUCUACUCUGUCGUGGGGGAUAACGUAGGGAAACUUACGCUAAUACCGCAUACGACCUACGGGUGAAAGCAGGGGACCUUCGGGCCUUGCGCGAUUGAAUGAGCCGAUGUCGGAUUAGCUAGUUGGCGGGGUAAAGGCCCACCAAGGCGACGAUCCGUAGCUGGUCUGAGAGGAUGAUCAGCCACACUGGGACUGGGACACGGUCCAGACUCCUACGGGAGGCAGCAGUGGGGAAUAUUGGACAAUGGGCGCAAGCCUGAUCCAGCCAUACCGCGUGGGUGAAGAAGGCCUUCGGGUUGUAAAGCCCUUUUGUUGGGAAAGAAAUCCAGCUGGCUAAUACCCGGUUGGGAUGACGGUACCCAAAGAAUAAGCACCGGCUAACUUCGUGCCAGCAGCCGCAGUAA
rnacentral:rRNA from 1 species